rnacentral:rRNA from 1 species
UGCCCAAGAGAUCGGGAUAACACCUGGAAACAGAUGCUAAUACCGGAUAACAACAGAUGAUGCCUAUCAACUGUUUAAAAGAUGGUUCUGCUAUCACUCUUGGAUGGACCUGCGGUGCAUUAGCUAGUUGGUAGGGUAACGGCAUACCAAGGCGAUGAUGCAUAGCCGAGUUGAGAGACUGAUCGGCCACAUUGGGACUGAGACACGGCCCAAACUCCUACGGGAGGCAGCAGCG